GAUGAACGCUGGCGGCGUGCUUAACACAUGCAAGUCGAACGGAAAGACCCUGCUUUUGUGGGGUUCUCGUUUGGCGCACGCGUGUGUGACACGCGAGUAACCUCCCCCUGUCUUUCGGAUAACUUCACGAGACUCCGGCUCUUACCGCAUAGGAUCUCCUGCUGCACGUGGGUGGUUGGAAAGUUUCGGCGGUUGGGGCUGGUCUGGCGGGUUAUCAGCUUGUUUGUGUGGUAGUUGCUUACCAAGGCUUUGACGGAUAGCCGGCCUGAGAGGGUUGCCGGCCACAUUGGGACUGAGGUACGGCCCAGACGCCUACGGGAGGCAGCAGUGGGGAAUAUUGCACAAUGGGCGGAAGCCUGAUGCAGCAACGCCGCGUGCGGGAUGACGGCCUUCGGGUUGUAAACCGCUUUCGCCUGUGACGAAGCGUGAGUGACGGUAAUGGGUAAAGAAGCAACGGCUAACUACGUG
rnacentral:rRNA from 1 species